rnacentral:rRNA from 1 species
GAACGCUGGCGGCGUGCCUAAUACAUGCAAGUCGAACGCACAGCGAAAGGUGCUUGCACCUUUCAAGUGAGUGGCGAACGGGUGAGUAACACGUGGACAACCUGCCUCAAGGCUGGGGAUAACAUUUGGAAACAGAUGCUAAUACCGAAUAAAACUUAGUGUCGCAUGACACAAAGUUAAAAGGCGCUUUGGCGUCACCUAGAGAUGGAUCCGCGGUGCAUUAGUUAGUUGGUGGGGUAAAGGCCUACCAAGACAAUGAUGCAUAGCCGAGUUGAGAGACUGAUCGGCCACAUUGGGACUGAGACACGGCCCAAACUCCUACGGGAGGCUGCAGUAGGGAAUCUUCCACAAUGGGCGAAAGCCUGAUGGAGCAACGCCGCGUGUGUGAUGAAGGCUUUCGGGUCGUAAAGCACUGUUGUAUGGGAAGAACAGCUAGAAUAGGGAAUGAUUUUAGUUUGACGGUACCAUACCAGAAAGGGACGGCUAAAUACGUGCCAGCAGCCGCGGUAAUACGUAUGUCCCGAGCGUUAUCCGGAUUUAUUGGGCGUAAAGCGAGCGCAGACGGUUGAUUAAGUCUGAUGUGAAAGCCCGGAGCUCAACUCCGGAAUGGCAUUGGAAACUGGUUAACUUGAGUGCAGUAGAGGUAAGUGGAACUCCAUGUGUAGCGGUGGAAUGCGUAGAUAUAUGGAAGAACACCAGUGGCGAAGGCGGCUUACUGGACUGUAACUGACGUUGAGGCUCGAAAGUGUGGGUAGCAAACAGGAUUAGAUACCCUGGUAGUCCACACCGUAAACGAUGAACACUAGGUGUUAGGAGGUUUCCGCCUCUUAGUGCCGAAGCUAACGCAUUAAGUGUUCCGCCUGGGGAGUACGACCGCAAGGUUGAAACUCAAAGGAAUUGACGGGGACCCGCACAAGCGGUGGAGCAUGUGGUUUAAUUCGAAGCAACGCGAAGAACCUUACCAGGUCUUGACAUCCUUUGAAGCUUUUAGAGAUAGAAGUGUUCUCUUCGGAGACAAAGUGACAGGUGGUGCAUGGUCGUCGUCAGCUCGUGUCGUGAGAUGUUGGGUUAAGUCCCGCAACGAGCGCAACCCUUAUUGUUAGUUGCCAGCAUUCAGAUGGGCACUCUAGCGAGACUGCCGGUGACAAACCGGAGGAAGGCGGGGACGACGUCAGAUCAUCAUGCCCCUUAUGACCUGGGCUACACACGUGCUACAAUGGCGUAUACAACGAGUUGCCAACCCGCGAGGGUGAGCUAAUCUCUUAAAGUACGUCUCAGUUCGGAUUGUAGUCUGCAACUCGACUACAUGAAGUCGGAAUCGCUAGUAAUCGCGGAUCAGCACGCCGCGGUGAAUACGUUCCCGGGUCUUGUACACACCGCCCGUCACACCAUGGGAGUUUGUAAUGCCCAAAGCCGGUGGCCUAACCUUUUAGGAAGGAGCCGUCUAAGGCAGGACAGAUGACUGG